rnacentral:lncRNA from 1 species
GUGUGCGCCACGUGUGUGUCGUGAGCUCUAAGCACGUGAGUGUGUGUUGUCAUCUGCUGCUGCGCGAUAAGGAACAUUUUGUCAAGAGCGUACAAGACGAAAAGCGGGAUGUAUCUAUAUACCGUCCGUGCAUUGGCUGACGCGGAGGUAUGCUACCGACUCGGCUGCGUGGACGCGGGCACGAAGAAAGGAGCGCCGACUGACCAACGAUACUUUGACUGCGCAUGUGUGCCACUCAAGUGCAACAGUUCACGAGGCAUCCCAGGCCCCGAAAGAAGUUGGAAGAAGAUGCAAGCGCAGCAUGCCAAUGUUGUUGAAUAUUGCAGCACGAAGUUUCCAGGCGCAAGUGUUUCUUAUAUAAAAGAAAGCCUAUUCUCUCCCCUCACAAGGGAAAUAAAAUCACUAUAUAAAAAUGCC